ensembl:lncRNA
AUGUUGCUUAAACAAUACAACCAUGACUUCAAUGAGCGAGCUGUAGAAGAGCAAGGAUUGUCAAGAGAGGAUAUUAGAUUCUUGGAGAUUGCUGAGAGUUCUGUCAAGCUUGAGGACAAUCAUUAUACCUUGAAGUUACCAUUUAAAAGGGAAAAUGUGUAUCUUCCUAACAACUUCUCUUUGGCAAAACAGCGGAUACUUGGAUUGAAGAGGAGAUUUCAGAGAGAUGAGCAGUUUUAUGAGGAGUAUGUAGCAUUCCUCAAAGAAAUGAUUAACAAAGGAUAUGCAGAGCAAUUGCCCACUCAGCAGCUGAAAGGAGACAGCGGCAAGGUGUGGUAUAUUCCUCACCAUGGUGUACGUCAUCCCAGGAAGAGGAACCUGCGGGUGGUUUUUGAUUGUGGUGCGGCAUUCAAAGGAACAUCAUUAAAUCAGGUCCUUCUGCAAGGUCCCAAUUUUACAAGUACAUUGAUUGGUGUUCUCCUAAGGUUUAGGCAGGAGUCGGUAGCUGUCAUGGGAGACAUACAGGCAAUGUUUCAUCAGGUUAGAGUGGCAGAAGAGGACCGGGAUUUCCUCCGUUUUUUGUGGUGGCAGAACGGAGAUUUUACAAAAGAAGUGUCAGUGUUUCGUAUGACUGUCCAUCUUUUUGGGGCUGUCUCCUCUCCAAGUUGCGCUGCCUUUGCGUUGCGAAAAACAGCAGAUGAUCAUCAAUGUGAAUUCCAUGAGGAGGUUGUUCAGACUCUCAAAGAUAACUUUUACGUAGAUGAUUGCCUUAAGAGUGUGGCAUCUGAAGAGGAAGCAGUUUCUUUGGUUCAAGAUCUUUCCAAUCUCUGUCAGCAAGGAGGUUUUACUCUGACAAAAUGGAUAAGCAACAAGCGCACUGUCUUGCAAACCCUUCCUGAGGAGUGUCGAGCCAAGGAGUGGAAAGAGCUGGAUCUGGACAAAGACAGCUUGCCUGUUGAGAGAGCUCUUGGUUUGUUGUGGUGUGCGGAAACUGACUCAUUUAAGUUCAAACUGGAGAUUCAGGAGAAGUCUUGCACAAGACGUGGAAUGUUGUCAGUGUCCAGUUCAGUAUACGAUCCAUUUGGGAUCUUGGGACCAGUAGUGUUACCUGCUAAGAUCAUGCUACAGGAGCUAUGCCGGAGGAACUUUGGAUGGGAUGAGACUGUGCCCUAUGAGAUAUUGUGUGGUUGGACACGGUGGUUGAAGGAACUUAAUGCACUCUCUGAAUUUAAGUUUGAGAGAUGCAUUAAGCCCAUGAGUUGGGGUUCCUACACACAUGCGCAGCUUCAUCAUUUUUCAGAUGCAAGCGAACAGGGAUAUGGUACAGUCACUUACCUUAGAAUCCAGAAUAGCAACAGUGACAUUCAUGUGUCCUUCCUCAUGGGCAAGGCUCGAGUAACACCUUUAAAGGCUAUCACUGUUCCCCGCUUGGAGCUAACUGCAGCUGUUCUUGCUGUCCGUGUUGAUCUGAUGCUAAAGAAAGAGCUGAGGCUCCAGUUGCAAGAAUCAGUCUUCUGGGCAGACAGCACAUCUGUACUCAAGUAUGUCAUGAAUGAGGACAAGCGGUUUCAUACUUUUGUUGCCAACAGAGUUUCCAUCAUCAGGGAAGCCACAGAGACAUCACAGUGGCGAUAUGUUGGCACAAAGGAGAAUCCAGCUGACGAUGCAUCCAGAGGAAGGAGGGCUGGAGAUUUUAUCAAGAACAACAGAUGGAUAGAAGGACCCAAGUUUCUGUACAAACCAGAAGAGGAUUGGCCUGUAAAUAUGGUGGACACUGUAGUAGGGGUUGAGGACCUAGAGGUCAAGAAGGAAGCCUUUGUCAAUGUGGUAAAUACUCAAGGCUCACUGAAGGGUACAAAUAGGUUGAUUGCUUACUUUUCAGAUUGGAGAAGACUUCGAGUAUCAGUUGCGUGGUUGCUUAAGUUGAAGAGGAUGUUGUUGAGAAGGAUUUGCAAGAGGAGAGAGUCCGAUACUACUGAAGCCAACAAACAGAAUGUCCUAGAGCAAGGGAAUCGGAUAGCUAAAGGUACAACAGGAGGACAAACCUUGUCGGCAGAGGAUCUUAUGGAAGCCGAGAUGGCUAUAAUUUGGUAUUGCCAACAGCAAAGAUUCUCUGAGGAAAUCGCUGCUUUGUCUUCUGGAAAAGAUACAGUAAGCAAACAGAGUGCCAUUUAUAAGUUGGAUCCAUGGUUGGAUAAUGGGCUUCUGAGAGUUGGAGGGCGGCUGACACGGGGUUCGUUGCCAGAAGACACAAAACAUCCGCUACUCCUCUGUAAAGAUCAGCAUGUGGCUACCCUUAUACUGAAAGAUUUACAUCAACAGCUUGGCCAUAGUGGGCGUAAUCACAUGUUGUCUGCUUUAAGAAGAAGGUAUUGGAUUACAGGAGCAACCUCAGCUGUGAGGAAGGUCGUAGCAGAAUGCUGCUUCUGUAAAAAAUAUAAUGGGAGGAUGAUGGGGCAGAAGAUGGCUGAUCUGCCUAAGGAGAGGAUUAUGCCAGACUAUCCGCCGUUUACCAACACAGGCGUUGACUAUUUUGGACCAAUAGAGGUGAAGAAGGGAAGAGGUACAGUGAAACGCUAUGGUGUCAUCUUCACCUGCUUGGCCAGUAGAGCCGUUCAUCUUGAACUUGCCAAUUCUCUUGACACAGAUGCCUGCAUUAAUGCUCUGCGCCGAUUUAUCAGUAGAAGAGGGCAAGUGGAGCAUCUUCUUUCAGAUAAUGGCACAAAUUUUAUAGGAGCAGAGAGGGAACUUCGGGAGGCACUUUUAUCAUUGAAUCAGGCUAAGAUUCAACGAGUGUUAUGUCAGAAGGGCAUUAAGUGGAGUUUCAACCCUCCAGCUGGAUCUCAUUAUGGUGGGGUUUGGGAGCGGGUCAUCCGCAUGUUGAGGAAGAUCCUCACUGCAGUAUUUCAACAGCAGACGCUUGAUGAUGACAGUUUCCAUACAGUCUUGUGUGAAGCGGAGGCAAUCUUGAAUGAUCGACCAAUCACCAAAUUGUCUGACGAUCCAAUGGAUCUUGAAGCUCUCACUCCCAAUCAUAUUCUGUUGUUAAAGGGAAAACCAUCCUUAUCUCCUGGAUUGUUCGAUGUUCAUGACUUAUACAUAAAAAGAAGGUGGAAACAGGUUCAGUACAUAUCAGACCUCUUUUGGAAGAGAUGGGUUAGGGAAUACCUACCGUUGUUGCAGGAAAGGCAGAAAUGGAACAAGAUUAAAAAUAGCCUCAGAUCUGGAGACAUUGUGGCCAUUAUGGAUCCAACGGCACCUCGAGGAUCCUGGCCACUUGGAAGAGUUUUGGAAACAUUCCCUGACAAGAAAGGGCUGGUGCGCUCUGUUCGCUUACAAACUAAGUCAAGUGUUAUUGAUAGGCCUGUAGCAAAACUUUGCUUUUUGCAUGAGUCUAUGGGUUAA